rnacentral:rRNA from 1 species
ACGUCAAGUCCUCAUGGCCUUUAUGACCAGGGCUGCACACGUCCUACAAUGGCGUACACAAAGGGAGGCAAACUCGCGAGAGCAAGCAAAUCCCAAAAAUACGCCCUAGUUCGGAUUGCAGGCUGCAACUCGCCUGCAUGAAGCCGGAAUCGCUAGUAAUCGCGGGUCAGCAUACCGCGGUGAAUGUGUUCCUGAGCCUU